UACAGGGGGUGCAACCGUUGCUCGGAAUUAUUGGGCGUAAAGCGCGCGUAGGCGGCUAUUUAAGUCGGAUGUGAAAGCCCCUGGCUCAACUGGGGAAGUGCACCCGAAACUGAAUGGCUUGAGUGCAAAAGAGGGCCGCGGAAUUCCCGGUGUAGAGGUGAAAUUCGUAGAUAUCGGGAGGAACACCGGUGGCGAAGGCGGCGGCCUGGGUUGACACUGACGCUGAGGCGCGAAAGCGUGGGGAGCAAACAGG
rnacentral:rRNA from 1 species